AAUAUGUCCUCGGUACAAAUCCUGCUUAACUUUAGGGUGCGUUUGGUUCGCAUUAUGAAUGAUUACUAGGAAUAAAAGAUAUCCGAGAAUCUUGUUCUUAUUCAUUCUAUUACUAAGAAUGUGGAAUUUCUGUGUUUGGUUCGCACGGUAAUAUUAAUUAGCCAUGUUAUUUAAUAUUACAAAAAAUAUACAAUUAAUUAAUUUAUUUAUUUAAUUAAUUUUAGAUAAUGUUAUCAAAAGUUUCAACAUCUUUUUAGAAAAAAGGAAGAGAGAGUAUAAGUUAGAGAGAGAGAGCAUAAUUAAAAAAAUAGAAAGAAAAAUAUAGUCGAAAUUAGAGGGAGUAAGAGAGUUGAAAUUUUAGAAAGAGAGAGAGAAAGAAAGCUUAGUUUAGAGAGAGAAAAAAAGUUAAAUUUUAGAGAGAAAAAUAUGUUUAGAGAGAGAUAUAAGAUUAGAGUGUAAAAAAAAAUAAUAUCAAUUAGCCAGCGGGUAGGAAAAAAGAAAGAGAUUAGACAUAUUAUAAUUAUCCCAAUCCAUUAAUAUGAGAAUACCCACCAUUCCUCAAGAGAAUGAAAUUAGUACUUUAGGAUGAAUCUUAUUCCUAAGUGAACCCAAUAUUACCAACAUAUUUUCAAGAAAAAAACAAAAGAGAAAAAAAAAAGAAAGGGAAAAG
rnacentral:lncRNA from 1 species